AUCACUUCUGCCUUAUAGAGCAAGUAACGUCUAAAUUAACUUUUUUUUGCUGAUGAACUGUAUAAAUGAGUGUCUAAUAGUGUUUUAAAUGUGUGCAUUCUUUAUUUUAGCAUUUUGGUGCAUUUUCUUUAAAAAUUAAAAAUUCUGUCUAAAAACCACAGUAAUGCGCCACCUUCAGCUGAAAACAUAGAAUUUGAGUCAUUUUGAAUAAAUUUUAGCCAAUGGCUAAAGAGUAAAGUACUACGUAAACCAGUAGAGUACUACGUAGCAGCUCCGUGCCAAAGUUAUAAAAGCAACGAGCGUCUCGGCCACGCCCUGUGGCGAGUGGGAGUUGGAUUUGCAAGCGAGCGUAGGAGGUCAGCGGUAGUUCAGCAUUAGCAUAUAGCAUUAGCAUAUCCUAGUCUUAGCAUAUCUUUUAGUGUUAUAAAUACUUAUUUAGUGUUAGAUUUGGCUGUUGGAUAUUGUAGUUUAGUUAGUGUUUGGCUGUUAGUGUAAUUGGGAAAGUAUUUCGGGUUUAGUGCUCCAUAUCGUCUUAGUAUUGGUGAGUAGGUGUAGUGUAGUAUGCUUGCGGUGACUCUGUGGGCAUUUUACCCGCGAUUCUGCACGUCUCCGUUUGAAGAGGGAGGCUGCCCACCGUGGCUCUUCCGCGAUUUAGAUGCAGCCCACCGACUCUGCUCCCCCACCACGGCGGGCUCCAGUCUGAGGUGAGUACGCUAAAUAAACGUUUUAACAUCUUCUAAAGACAAUUCCCUACCUAAAUGCAAAGUCUGAGAGACGUGGUUCACUUCCUUUAGCUAGUCGGCAAUUCUGCAACAGUGUCUCUAACUGACGCAGCACUUGACAGACAGCAUUACAGCGUGAAAUCCAGCUUGUGACCCGGUUCUGUAAGGAAAUCUGUUCAGGAGGUCGCAUUUCAGGCUCUCCACAUCAUAUGUGACUGACUUUUACGUUAUAAUGAUCACACACUAGGAAUGUUAUAAAGCGCCUAUAUAGGACAGUUUCUUUUGUAUAUUAUCUGACUUUAUAAACUCCCAACAACAAUGUGCUUAUAUAUUUUUUUCAGGCUAAAUCUACCCAAGACACUGGCUGUCAGACUGAUUUAGCUGCAAGAAUGCACUUGUCCAGGCUGAUGUGAAACCUUCCCUGUAGCAAAGCCAGCCAGAAUGGAGUUCACAGCCGCAGUGUGUCUGGUGACCCACGGGGACCAUGAUGAAAAUUCAUCUUCCAGAAGGUCCCAGAGCAGCGGCCACACCCCCUGAAAAGACCAAGGUGUGAGGUGUCUGCUGUUGAUUCCAGCUUCCACCUCAGUGACAGUGCAAGCUCAGUGAACUGUUCAAGCCUGGCUGAUCACCUGAUAACUCCUGUCAUCUGGUUAUGACAGCAUGAGGAUGUCCUCACACACCUGUAACCUAUCAGCUCAUCUGGCAGAAUAGAGAGAGAAGAGACAACACCACAUCUCCUGUUCCUGGAAAGCCUUCAGCCAUCCUUCGAUGACUGAGAACCUCCAUCAGCUCUGUCUCCUGUCUGCCCACAAUUAUUAUAAUAAAUAUUGUGUUUGACAAGUUU